rnacentral:rRNA from 1 species
CACGUAGGGCGCAAGCGUUGUCCGGAAUUAUUGGGCGUAAGGAGCUCGUAGGCGGUGUGUCGCGUCGGCCGUGAAAACCUGCAGCUUAACUGUGGGCUUGCGGUCGAUACGGGCAUCACUGGAGUUCGGCAGGGGAGACUGGAAUUCCUGGUGUAGCGGUGAAAUGCGCAGAUAUCAGGAGGAACACCGGUGGCGAAGGCGGGUCUCUGGGCCGAUACUGACGCUGAGGAGCGAAAGCGUGGGGAGCGAACAGG